rnacentral:lncRNA from 1 species
GAGUGCCUGUGCAACGCGCGUGUGUGCUUUGGAGCUGCAGCCUCAAGUCGAGUGCACGGGUAAAGGUUCACAGGACAGGUCUGAAAGGUCAACCUCAAUCAUAUUUGGCUGUGGAUAUCACUGCAACUUUGGCACUCGACCAAGCGAGGUACAUUGGACAGAUCAACCGGACCAAAAGGCG